UACGAAGGGGACUAGCGUUGUUCGGAUUUACUGGGCGUAAAGCGCGCGUAGGCGGAUCACUAAGUCAGGGGUGAAAUCCCGAGGCUUAACCUCGGAACUGCCUUUGAUACUGGAGAUCUGGAGAUCGGGAGAGGUUGGUGGAAUUCCGAGUGUAGAGGUGAAAUUCGUAGAUAUUCGGAGGAACACCAGAAGCGAAGGCGGCCAACUGGCCCGAUACUGACGCUGGAGGCGCGAAAGGCGUGGGGAGCAAACAGG
rnacentral:rRNA from 1 species